rnacentral:lncRNA from 1 species
UACAAAUAAAUAAUUUUUCAGAUUCUUUUCCACUUUAGAUUAUUAUAAGAUAUUGAAUAUAGUUCCCUGUGCUAUACAGUAGGCCCUUGUUUAUCUGUUUUCUAUAGAGUCCUUUAAUACUCCUUAAUGGAAAGGUACAUAUAAGAAGCUCAGAAUCCUGAUGGUAAGCCACAGUCCCUCGUUCGUCUGCCCUUGGGGAAAGUCCGACUUUGUGUAAUUGCCCCUGCUUUCCUUUUCUCCUCCAGGCAAUGAUUGCUUCUCAGUGUUAGCGUUUCAUCUUAGAGUUCUCCCUUUUUACUUUGCUGCAUUUUAAAAAUUUACUAGUAUGAACAUGUAUUAUUUUCAUAAUAAAACAGAGGAUAAAUUAUAUUGUAAAAGCACAGGUCAGUCAGAGAGAUGAUGCAAGCCGAAAAUCAUUCCGUGGGAGCGGAGACCAAGAGGAGGAGGUGAACUUGAGAAGGAGAGAUUCGGGAAACAGAAUUGACAGGGCUGGGUCACAGCAGUGGCAGGAGAUUUAGGAAGGAACACUCGUUUUAUGUCAUUGUGGCCUUUAUUUUUUUUAAGACAAAUAGAGCAUUACAAGAGGUUUUUUGAUUUUUAGGUUUUUUUUUUUUCCCCACAUUCACAGCCAUUAUAUGUUAAACAUAUUUCACUAUUUUCAAUCACCUAUCUGUUUAAGGUAAUUUGCCAGGUAAUUUUUUUAGUCCACCAUGUAAAUGUUUACAUUUGAGGUCAUUAAAAAAGCUUUGGUGAAAUAAAGGGAGUCUAUUUUCUUGUAGAAGUUUUUGUUUCCAGUUUACCUUAAUUUAGUGAUAACAGAACCCUUCUGUGGGAAUGUCUUGCAGUGAUAUUGAUUUGAAAAACAAAAGGAAAGGCCUCAAAGAUAAAAAGUCCUAAAAAGGAAUGUUUGAAGAGCAUUAACUAUACCACAUUUAUCAGAUUGGCAAUUAUGCCCCCUUCAGUUCAGUGCAGUUCAGUGGCUCAGUCGUGUCUGAUUCUUUGUGACCCCAUGAACUGCAGCUCACCAGGCCUCCCUGUC